rnacentral:lncRNA from 1 species
GUAGGUGGCAUUGUUCAUUCCAGGUUGAGUCACUGCCCUCAGGAUGUAGGAAGCAAUCCGUAUGGGACAGCUCUCCCUCCCCUGCCAGGUGCCUCUCCAAUCCCGGUCUCUUUGGGUUGUUCCCAGUCUCUAUCCCCCCUCACUUCUCCUUCCCACCAGGCCCCAAUUACUGGGACUUUUCUCCAAAGCUCUGGGUUUAUUCUGGGCAUGCGGCGCCCUGGCCGCCCCA